CAGCAGCCGCGGUAAUACGAAGGUCCCGAGCGUUGUUCGGAAUCACUGGGCGUAAAGGGAGCGUAGGCGGCGUGGUAAGUCAGAUGUGAAAUCCCGGGGCUCAACCCCGGAACUGCAUCCGAUACUGCCGUGCUAGAGGAUUGGAGAGGUAGCUGGAAUUCUUGGUGUAGCAGUGAAAUGCGUGGAGAUCAAGAGGAACACUCGUGGCGAAAGCGAGCUACUGGACAAUAUCUGACGCUGAGGCUCGAAGGCCAGGGUAGCGAAAGGGAUUAGAUACCCCAGUAGUCCCUGUCUCUUAUAC
rnacentral:rRNA from 1 species